rnacentral:lncRNA from 1 species
AGCGUUUAUCACGGGGAUGACUCAGCCCGCCCGAGCCUCUCUCUCCCUGAAAAGGGAAUCUGAGGCCAGGGCCGGGGUGAGAGUGUCCAUUAGACCAUCUAUAGCCUCGGGAGCCCGGAAACUCCCCUCACCUGGGAAGCACGCAGGACGGACGGACGGGAUGAGUAAAGCUCAGAUGAGGAAACCGAGGCAGAGAGAAAGAUGUAUGUCCAAAGUCACAGGCGCGCAGUCUCCAGAAGCCUGCAGUUUUGACUGCUUGGCUAUGUCACCUCUGAUUUAUGACACAACGUCAUGUGGCAGCACCGAGGCCACGGUAUAUGGAGGUUCCCAGGCUAGGGGGUCUCAUCAGAGCUGUAGCUGGCGGCAUACACCACAGCCACGGCAACACCGGAUAUGAGCCAUGUCUGCAACCUACAUCUCACAGCAACAGCAGAUCCUUAAUCCACUGAGAAAGGCCAAGGACUGAACCUGUGUCCUUGGGAUGCUAGUCAGAUUUUGUCUGCACUGAGCCACUGCCAGAACUCCGUGUAGCAACUCUUAAACUGACCAAAGAAGUCAAUUUAGAGAAGGGAGCAGCCUCUGGCAGAAAAGAUUGGAUGUCUGCCCAGGCCUGAUUGGUCAGCCAUGGAAGGACCCUCCUCAGAGGGGACGUGGGUCCUUAACACAGAGAUGCAGCCGCUCCCCCGCCAACCCGCACACACACAUAUGCACGUGGACCCGGACACACUCCAGGUCGUCAGGAAUCAGCCACCCAACAAAUAUUCACCAGGCUUUAUGCUAAGGAGUGCAGUUCAGCAACUGACAACACAAGCAGAAGCCCCUGCUUGCUUGGUGCCGACGCUCUAAUGGGGAGAUUUACAGCAUAAGUAAAAUGAAAAACGAAGCUGUGUAAAUAGACUCACUCACCUGCUGUCAUCCCCCAAGUCACACCUUCCACCUCCUCCGGGGCUCCAGGUUCUGGGGCUGCAUUCCUGCCUCUGGCUUGGCCUCUACUACUCCGCUCCGCUAAAUCUCCUCGCACCCCACUCCCCUCCAAACACCGCCUGCCUUGUUUGGGUCACCGUCACCCACGCCCACUCCUGAGGGCUGGCACCUGCCCGUGAACCCAUCCCAGGGAAUCCCCCAGGUGCAACCCGUGAGAUGCUGGGACUGGCAGCCCCUUGCCCAUCCCUCUCCCCCACCAGUCCUGUCCCCAGCAGUGAGCCCGGCUGGUCCACCGCGCCCAGAGUCUCCCCCCAGCCCUCCUCUCCAUCUCCCCCAGCCCCUAGAUCUUGCCGGGGCUUGGCUCCUUGUAAUGGGAGCAUCUCCAGUGCAAGAUUGUUCAGAAGGAACUGAUGAACCACAGAAGGAGCUGCGGUUCUGUUCUGGAAUCUACCAGGCGUGGUGGGCUGUGGGCUUCAUCACCUGGCAUUGCCUCGGGCGUCUACUUUCACGUCAGAGUCCCCCUGGGGUCCUCUCUCCACCUGCGUCUCUAACACGACGCUCUGUCCCCCGUCCUCCUUCUCUGACUUUCCAAGCUUCCGGUCCUCCGGCUCGGGACCCUCUGAGGUUACUCUUUCUCCCCAGACCAGCUCUGCCCACCACUACCCUGCGUGUCCAUAAAUGACAAAAGACACGUGCUCUAGUCGUCCCGCGGACAGGUGACAAAACAGAGACAGGAGGAGGUGAGGGCUCGUCCUGGUUGGGGAACAGACUGGAGCCAGAGAAGGACUAAACCUCAGGUCUCUGGGCCUGAGCUUGUUCCCAGGGACUUCAAGGAAGUUUCUAGUGAUCUAACCUCUUUGUUUCAGAGUUGUCAAACAAAAACACCCAUCUCCUCUUCUUUCUUCAGUCUUUCCCUCUUCAUCCCUUGUGACCAGGCCUGACUCCCUCCCUCCCUCCCUCUCUCUCUCUCUUUCACACACACACACACACACACACACACACACACACACACACACACUCGGUUUGGGAUGGGGAGGUGUGGGAGGGCUGAGACUUGGAAGCCUGCCUCAUACACCUCCCUCCCUCGAUGAGGCUCCUGGAGGGGUGGAUACAGACACGGUUUUUGUCUCUAAGGAGAGAGUCAACUUUUUUGCACCCCUCCCCCCAGCCCUGGGGUGAGCUUCCUUCCACCGAGGUCUGAGGGCUACUGAGCUGGUCAGAGGUCCUCCUGAGCUGCACGUAUCCCCAACAAGGAGACGAGCAACGGCUCGCCCCUUUACAGCCAAAGAACCUGUCUAACCUUGGCCCGCAGUCAGGAGAGGAGAGCAGAAACCAGAAGUCACCCGAUGCCGCCUCACUCCUAGAAUCCACUCCCAGGUCAAAGAGUAAGAAUGGUCUCCACAGCAGCUGAUGUGUUAAACUUGUGGACCCUUCUGCAUCCCUGAGGAUUCGUGAGCCCCGAAAAACAUGCUGCCCUGAGCUUUCCUGGCCCCACCAAGAUUCCUGGCUGCUGAAUUUUCAAGAACGACUCACCUCCCGAGCACAAGGCAAUUACACAAACCUCCUAGGCAACCUCUGGAGGGGGAAAAAUGCAGACGAAGAGGGCCACCUGAAAAAAAAAAAAAAAAAGAAAAAGUCCAGCAUAAGGACAGCUUAAUAAAAUGCAUGUGUUCAAC